rnacentral:rRNA from 1 species
GUGCCAGCCGCCGCGGUAAGACAGAGGUGGCAAGCGUUGUCCGGAAUUACUGGGCGUAAAGAGCGCGUAGGUGGCUAGAUAAGUCCGGUGUGAAAUCCUUCGGCUUAACCGGGGAAUGGCAUCGGGGACUGUUUAGCUAGAGGACGGGAGAGGAGAGCGGAAUUCCCGGUGUAGCGGUGAAAUGCGUAGAGAUCGGGAGGAAGGCCGGUGGCGAAGGCGGCUCUCUGGAACGUCCCUGACGCUGAGGCGCGAAAGCGUGGGGAGCAAACAGGAUUAGAUACCCUGGUAGUCCACGCCCUAAACGAUGGACACUAAGUGUCGGAGGUAUUGAGCCCUCCGGUGCCGCAGCUAACGCAUUAAGUGUCCCGCCUGGGGAGUACGGUCGCAAGACUGAA